CUAUUUUUUGUACGAUUAAGUUUGUCUUCUUCUUUACAGCUUCCAAUUUUGUAUCACUUCAACAAUACGUUACUGUUAAUUUUUUAUUUUCGUUUUCUUCUUCUUUACAGCUUCCAAUUCUUCUGUUCCAGAAAAAAAGUUAUGAUUAUUUUCUGGGAAUGGUUUCUUUCUUCUUUCCUCGAGAAAAACCCAGGUUUUUUUCUUUCUCGUCGUGUGUACAUCGCCACAACAGCGUUCGGAGAAAACGAGGUUCUGAAGAUGUUUGCCGCCUCAGGGCUGCUUAUAUCAGAAGAGAAGCUUACUACGAUAUCAUCCCAAGACGUCUGGACUAUACAUCAUCUACAUCAUGAUCACGCCAUAAUGUGAUGACAAUCAUAUCCAGCAGUCUCCUCUCUAUCCUUUCUGACUGCUUAUUGUGUCAUGAUCCUUAAGGAUAAAUGUCUUAAGAUUUUUAUUAAAUUUCUUUUCAGCAUUUGAUGGAUCUUUGGUUUGGGGUGAAAAAGCUUCUGUCUAGUUGUAUGCUUCAUCAAGGCAUUUCAUUUCCUUGAGAAUUUGCUACUUCAUUAUUUUGAGCUUCUUUAUUUUAAUCAAUCAGUAAGGAAGUGAGAGGGGAAUGUCGGCUCGAGUAAUGCAAAUGUUGGUGAAAAUCUAAUGCCUCGAAAAUCUAAGGGUUCCUCCAUAAGUUUCGUCUAUGGAGGGUGAGUCAGGGCCUAAGAUCAGGUUGAAAGGUGUAAUCAAUGCGCAACACACGAAUGUUACUGUACUACGCCUUGUUGGUUUGAGGGACGAAGGAGGCUAGGUUUGUCGUAAGAUCACUAUCCCUUCAAGGAUGCUAGGUGCUUUGCUUUUUCAGGGUAAGAAGGGGUAGAGAAAAUGCCUUCAGCCAAUGUUUGAGUACAAGGUGCAAUGCUGACCUUAGGUGACAUCAUUGUGAUGUUGAAUUCAUUUUCCUGUGCUCACUAUUUAAGAUUUUUCCCCAACUCUUUAGUUUUCCAGCAUUGCUAAAAUGUUAUUGUGUUUGUAUUAGUGCUUUUAAGAGAAUCUGCACUCACUUGUGCUCGGCGGGUGGGACGAUAAGUGAUUUAUUCACAGAAUUGGUAAUUUAACUUAUUUAAGUAAUGUUUUGCCCCAAAUUGGUAUAAACCUUCCAGCUAAUGAUAGCUGCUUUUAGUCAAUGCGUCUCAUCCGCAAUCCAGCAAAAUAUAACAUCUGGGGUGUUGACGACUGCACGUGAGAGAAUGGGAGCACGUGGUUUUAUAGGCACCUUUUUAGUUGCAGUCUUUCCCCUUUUACUGUCAUCUCCGUAUCACCAACCUAGGUCAAAAAAUCUUCCUGAGCAAAGUCGUAGGAGGUCGAGACCUGUCAAAGUUUUAUUUUGGUGACAAACUCUGUUGCUUCUAUGGAAUUGGAACUUAUGAUAGGAGAAGGCGAGAUUCCUACUGGAUGGUGUCUAGGAAAAAAGGAUGGUUCGAAAAAAUUGGUACUUACAAAUCUACUAAUCUCCUCUAUAUUCUUUGAUUAAUUUUAGAGUGAAAUUAUUGAAUUCUUCCAAGGACAAUCAGGAUCUUGACUUUUAUUAUGUUGAUCAUGUGGAAAAUUGUCUUUGAAAUAGUGGUUGAGUGGUUGGUUCAAUUGAGUUUAUUUUAUGAAUGUGGAUUGUGUUGCUGAUUUUGUUUUUCUUUUCGAAUUGACUAGUAAUAUAUGAUAUCUUCUAAUUAAAUGCUAAAAUCUCUGAUUACCUCUUGUUUCAAUUAAAAUACACAAUCAAUACAUUGGAAUUAGUAUUGCAGGAACAAAAUUUGUUUUCCAUUUCGUCAAUUUUAAAAAUCUACCAAAUAAAAAGAAAAGUACACUAGAUUUCUUCUCACAUACUACUUCUAUUGGUUUUGUCUUGUCAAUGUCAUCAUAGAUAUUGGAGUGUAGCUAGUUGACUGCAAACUGUUUGUAUGGCUCCUUUUUCAAUAACAAUGUCCAAGUAGUUUUAUUGCCUAUGUUAUUGAACUUUGAUGUUAUAUUGAUAAGCUGGCAGGGAAUGGAAAUGCUUGGUGUACUAACUUGGAGUUUAAUUCUUAGUAAACAAUUCUAGGUUGUCCCUAUAGCCCUUGUGAUGUUGUCUUUCACUCUGUCGCCAUACAACUAUGUCCUUCCUGGCCCAACCCCCCCAAAACAAAAUCAUUUGUUGAAUUUUUUAUUGAUGAUGACAUUUAUUAUAUGCUUCAACUGUUGAAAGUUUUUUUAGAGGGCCGUUGCCCUUCUUUUUUACAAUUUUUACUGUCUCAGGCACCACUGUCUUCCUUCUAUUGAGCAGCAUAUUGUCUUUGUUCUUUGUGUGUUUGUGUGUGUGUGUGUAAAGUUACUCACACAACAAAUAUAGUGGAUAAAUGGUCAUUGUAUUUGAGAUGAUGAUUGAAAAUAUACACAUAAGCAGAAAUGAAGCUAUAGUUCAAAAUUAUUAUUCAUUAGUCGCAUCGUGGAAAUGGAUAACUUUCUAUUUCUCUGUGAGCAUCCAUUAUUCCUAUAAUCCAUGAUACUAGAUAGCUUAACUUCCUGAUCCCAUGUUUUGUGUUGAAUAGGUCUGCAUUAAUGUUUCUUGGUCGUGUGUCUGCCUUUAAUCACAAAUGCUUGCCCAAAUGAGUAAUGAUCUUUCUUAAACUAUACCCAAUAAUUAAUGUAAGCUUGCUUCAUGUAGGUAGAUAAACUGCAUCUGCUUGUUUUGGGAUAGAGUUGAACUUUUUGAAGUUAGAGAGUAACCUUUGUUUAUAAUUCAAAAAAUACAUGGACUACUUAAUAUAAGAAUCCUUUCUAUCUUUGAAGUGCAUGUUUGCCUAUUAUGAUGGAUUUCCAUAAUGUCCAUUUCGUUGUAUUUGCACAAGCAUUGAAUAACAUGUACCUUACAAACAACAACAACAAAAACCUUAUCCCACAUGAAAAAUAGUAAAUUUAAACAAACAACAUGCUAGCGAGAAAUGGAAAUAUAUUCAAACUGUCGUGGUAUCUUCUGAUUGGAUUUGGGGGGAAAAGAAAAUAGUAAAUUGGGAGGUCAUUUAUUUUGUCAGUGUAGCAUAACUAGAAUAUUGAGCAGAUUAGGAAGGCUCUUAAAUAACAGGUUAUGGGAUCCCUUUGUUUGUGAAACAUGCUUUUGUUCGUCUCUAAUCUUUAGUAAUCUGGAAAUGAUCCAACAUGUUGUAUUCUUGUCUCUAAUCCUUUGUUAUCUGGAGACGAUCCUUGAUUUCUAAAUAUCAAACUCUCCCAAGCAUGGUUCCAUCUGGCAUAGAAGCCUGAAAUUUGGCUGUGAUAUUGCCUUAGUGCAGCAAAAGAGUGAAAGACACCAACUUUUCUGUCUUUAGAAUCCUUAAUUGAUCAGAACUUUAGUUUACCUUUAAGCAAUGAAGGUAUAGAAAUAAAACCUAGUUGGCAGUAUUAUUCUCCAUUCUAUCUGCUCUUGGCAUUUCAAUUUUUCAUCUUUCAAAACCUUAACGACUUCUCUCCGUGGUUUUCUUGACUCUGUUCAUUUCUUUGUACUUAUCUGGAUUUGGAUAUUAGACUCCAUUGGGGUGUUUUGUUGUGGAAUUACUUUUAGGUCCAUACUCAUUCUCAAGGCACGGACAACAUCAUGCUAAUUCCUUCUAACUUCUAAGUUAAACUUUAGACCAUAAUCUGCAACCGAUAUACUGCAUCUUAUCACAUCGGCCUGAUGUGGCCAUUGUGCCUACUGUGUUGCGGCCUAGGCUGUGUUGCGAAUUCUGACAGACUGUUGAAUUUUUGUGUUGCAGUACUAUUAUUGUCCAGGUACUGGGCAGCACUUCUUUAAAUAUUCUGAUCUCAUACGCUAUAUAGAGUAUGCUAAGGAAAAACAGGUUGGCAUCUACUCACUGUGUCGUAAAUCAAUUAAAAGGCAAAGAAAGGUUGAGCUAGAUAGCAGGGCCACUGAACCCAAGAAAAAGACAUUUUGUCGCUUCAGUAGCUUGUCAAUUCCAAAGAAACCAUCAGUCUCGAAUUCAUUAACGGUCGUUGACCAGAGAAAUUUGGAGGAAGAAAGCAGAGCCACUGAAUACAAGAAGGCAUUAUCUGUCUUGUCAAUUCCGAAGAAAACAUCAGAGUCAAAUUCUUUAACUGCCCUUGACCUGAUUGCUGAAUACGAAUCGCCGACGGCAAGUGAAAGCACUAAUGAGGGAGACGAGGACUACGUGCCGGAGUCAGACUGUGAUGACUUGGCUGAGUCAGAUACUCUAGAUGAAGAAAAGCAGAUUGUGAAGGAAGAAAUGGAUGACCUCAAAGCUCCUUAGAAGUGCUUGUUGUUGUUAUGUCUCUUCAUAAUAUAAAAGCCAUCCUGUUCCUGGAGGCUUUGGUUAUUAUACUCUGGUUUUCCCUUUGUUUCUGUUUAUUCAAUAAAAAGAAGGCCUUGAACAGUGCAGGUCACAUUCAGAAUAAAUUUGUUGGCACUUGACAGUGCUGAGUGAGUAUGCUCAUGUCAACCAUGUUUGCUAAUUGAGUAUUUGAAAUAUGACUUUCUCAUGGGAAAUUUUGGCUUGCCUUCCCUUCUUGGCAAUUAGCAUCAUGGUUGACUGGUUGAGUUGGAACUAUGGUUGGAGUUUUAAUCUAUAUGAUAAUGGAUAUUUCAGAUUUUGCCAAGAUGAAA